rnacentral:rRNA from 1 species
GUGGGGAAUAUUGGACAAUGGGCGCAAGCCUGAUCCAGCCAUACCGCGUGGGUGAAGAAGGACUUCGGGUUGUAAAGCCCUUUUGUUGGGAAAGAAAUCCUAUCGAUUAAUACUCGGUGGGGAUGACGGUACCCAAAGAAUAAGCACCGGCUAACUUCGUGCCAGCAGCCGCGGUAAUACGAAGGGUGCAAGCGUUACUCGGAAUUACUGGGCGUAAAGCGUGCGUAGGUGGUUGUUUAAGUCUGCUGUGAAAGCCCUGGGCUCAACCUGGGAAUUGCAGUGGAUACUGGGCAACUAGAGUGUGGUAGAGGGAUGCGGAAUUUCUGGUGUAGCAGUGAAAUGCGUAGAGAUCAGAAGGAACAUCCGUGGCGAAGGCGGCAUCCUGGGCCAACACUGACACUGAGGCACGAAAGCGUGGGGAGCAAACAGGAUUAGAAACCCCGGUAGUCC